GACGAACGCUGGCGGCGUGCCUAAUACAUGCAAGUCGAACGCUUCUUUCCUCCCGAGUGCUUGCACUCAAUUGGAAAGAGGAGUGGCGGACGGGUGAGUAACACGUGGGUAACCUACCCAUCAGAGGGGGAUAACACUUGGAAACAGGUGCUAAUACCUCAUAACAGUUUAUGCCGCAUGGCAUAAGGGUGAAAGGCGCUUUCGGGUGUCGCUGAUGGAUGGACCCGCGGUGCAUUAGCUAGUUGGUGAGGUAACGGCUCACCAAGGCCACGAUGCAUAGCCGACCUGAGAGAGGGAUCGGACACACUGGGACUGAGACACGGCCCAGACUCCUACGGGAGGCAGCAGUAGGGAAUCUUCGGCAAUGGAAGAAAGUCUGACCGAGCAACGCCGCGUGAGUGAAGAAGGUUUUCGGAUCGGAAAACUCUGUUGUUAGAGAAGAACAAGGACGUUAGUAACUGAACGACCCCUGACGGUAUCUAACCAGAAAGCCACGGCUAACUACGUG
rnacentral:rRNA from 1 species